GGGGUUGACUGGUUUCGACAGCAAGACCAAUGGGUAAGUAAGCAUGCAGAGAACCGUAGCGCGAUCUCUUAAAUCCCUUGCUACAACAUUUUAACUGGCAACGAAGAGUUCGCUCUUGCAGCUUAAUAAUCGAAGUUUAGUAGAUUCAAGCGUUUCCCGAAGAUUUCAGUAAGGAAGCAAGAUGUCUCACCAAUGUUCUGUUCUGCGACGUUGGAUUCUGGGAUAUAGGAAUGCGGAAAUAAGGCCUUGGAAGCUUCGGUCAAGACUCGAAAAUUUUAGAAGCUAAGGUUUAGGUUGGGUGUUUGCUCUCUGCCUGAGCUCGAAAAUCAAUAGCAAAAUAAGCAUGUAGAAGGCUUACGUAUUGCUUGUUUGGACGAGGGUUCGAAUCCCUCCAACUCCACCU
rnacentral:tmRNA from 1 species